rnacentral:rRNA from 1 species
AUGCUGACCUUGAUCCCCAAGGAGGCUGAUGCCUCCAACAUGAAUUUUUUUAGGCCAAUUAGUCUACUAAAUUGUAGCUUCAAGAUCUUCACUAAGGUCCUUACAAAUAGACUAGCUGGGAUCCUGCAAAGGCUCAUAGCAAGUAACCAAUCAGCCUUCCUAAAAGGCAGAUAUAUCUUAGAAAGUGUGGUUACAGCUCAUGAGAUUUUGCACUCCAUCCACUCUAUCAAGAGGCAGGGCUUGGUACUUAAGUUAGACUAUGAGAAAGCCUUUGACAAGGUAGAAUUGGAGUUUCUUGAAGAGCUGCUCCAGGCAUGUUUAGCUAGUAUCCCUGUGUACUUACUUUCUUUCUUUAAAUUCUCUAAAUGGGUAAUAGAGCUUAUUAAUUCUCAAAUGGCAUGCAUGUGGAAUGAUUUUGAGGGGCACAGGAAAUUACACUUAGCUAAUUGGAAGAUGGUAUGUAUGAAAAAAGAAUUUGGGGGGCUGGGCAUCCCAAAUCUACAAGAGGUCAACCUCUGCCUCCUAGGGUCUUGGGUUAAAAGAUACUAUGAAGGUGAAGGGAAACCCUGA